GAAAGCGGAUUGCGGGAAAACUGCACGAUCCGUUUGAUUGAGCGGACGGAGGAAGGCGUAAGCCGACCUCCUUCGACUCUAC
rnacentral:autocatalytically_spliced_intron from 1 species